rnacentral:misc_RNA from 1 species
UGUUUUUGCAGACCCUUCUGUUGCCGAAAGAGUUGUGAAGGAAAAACACAUAAUUGAUGGUAGAACUGUAGAGGCAAAGAAGGCUGUUCCAAGAGAUGAUCAACACAUUACCAGAAACAAUGGUAGUAUGCAGGGUUCUCCAGGUCCAGCUCGCACUAAAAAGAUUUUUGUUGGAGGUUUGGCAUCCUCAGUCACCGAGAGUGACUUCAAGAAUUACUUUGAUCAAUUUGGGACGAUCACCGAUGUUGUAGUAAUGUAUGAUCACAACACACAAAGGCCUAGAGGCUUUGGAUUUAUUACUUUUGACUCAGAGGAGGCAGUUGAUAAAGUUCUAUACAAGGCGUUUCAUGAACUUAACGGUAAGAUGGUUGAGGUUAAACGUGCAGUACCCAAAGAGCUGUCACCUAGUCCAGCCCGAAGCCCAUUUAAUGGACAGAACUAUGGUCUUAAUAGGGUUAACAAUUUGCUUAAUGCAUAUACCCAAGGUUACGUUCCAAGCUCGAUUGGAAAUUAUGGAAUGAGAAUGGAAGGUAGAUACAGUCCUCUUACUGCUGGUCGAAAUGGAUAUUCAUCCUUUAAUCCUGCUGACUUUAACUUGCCGUCAGGCAUGGACUCCACAUUGAACCUAAAUUAUGGUGGAAAUGGAAAUUUUGGUUCUAAUUAUGGACGUGGAUUCAAUUCCUUAUACAAUGGGAAUUCAAACAGGUUCAACGGUCCUGUCGGGUUUGCCCCUGGAAGGGUUGGAAGCAGUUCAAUGUUGAAUUCAGUAGGAUGGAACCUGUGGGACAAUGAGAGUCUUAAUUAUGGAACAAAUUCUGCCAACUCUACUGAUUUCGUUGGUUCUGGAAGUGGGGCUGCGGGAUAUGGUACGUUGGGGGGUCUCGGAACAAUCUGGGGUUCCUCCUCAAUUUCGGGUCAAGGUGGAGGAAAUGGUUCUUUUGGAACUGGCAACAUUGCUAACAGUGGCGAAGCAGUUGGGACAGGGUAUGGACGAAACUCAGGAAGCAAUGCUGUCAAUACAUCACCUUAUUCCUCAGCAAAAGACAUUCCUGCUGGAGCUUUUGGGAACUUGUAUGGUAAUACUGUAGGUGCUUCGUUCUAUGAGGACUCAGCCUGGCGUUCAACAUCUCCAGAACUAGAUGACUCUGCAUCCUUUGGUUAUGGACUUGGGAACGCAGAGUCACUUGGUUAUGUUGGUGGUUAUAGUGUUGCAAAUAGAUCAAAUAAAGGAAUUGCUGCCUAGGAAGAUUUAUCGUAUGGAAGCUUGGAUUUAAGAAUGCUUAAUAUAGGUGGAAAAUACAGCUUGAGCUAAAGUUGUGGAUGUGGAUUACUACUCGUAUUCUGUUUGAAGAAAUACUUCAGUCUAGAGGUACAUUCACUUAGAGCUAAUUCAGUACCUGCUAUAGAAAGAACUUCUCCCAAUCGACGUUUACAAAAGAAAGGGACUUCUCGUGUAAGGUUUGAACGUAGAUUGUUUAGUAUAGAACUUUUCAUUUUCUUUGCCUUUUUUUCCUUGUCCCUUGCAUAUGGUUGAGAUGUAAAAUUGGAUAGCGGAAUAUACUUACGAGAUAAUUGUUCCAUUACAUUAUCUGAUGAAAAACAAUGCAACGUAAAAGCAG